rnacentral:rRNA from 1 species
UACAGAGACUGCAAGCGUUAUUCGGAAUUACUGGGCGUAAAGCGCGCGCAGGCGGCUAUCCAAGUCAGUGGUGAAAGCCCGGAGCUCAACUCCGGAACUGCCAUUGAAACUGUUUAGCUUGAGGACGAGAGAGGUGAGUGGAAUUCCCAGUGUAGAGGUGAAAUUCGUAGAUAUUGGGAAGAACACCGGUGGCGAAGGCGGCUCACUGGCUCGUUUCUGACGCUCAGGCGCGAUAGCGUGGGGAUCAAACAGG